CACUCGAAGCUCUUCACGACCGUCGGUGGCUCGACGCGCCCUGCGCGGCCGCUGAUCGCGCCGAUCGUGCGCAGGAUGUUCAUGACGCCGGUGACGUGCCGUGCGACGUCCUCCUCGAUGAGCUGGCCGCGGCCGCCGGAUUCGGCGAGCAUCGCCGCGACUCCGUUCUCGGCCGCGACGGCCAUCAGCGUGCCCGGGCGUUCGCCGGUCGGCGCGCUCUUCACGGCCCAGCGCGCGCCGUAGGCGUUCGCCAUGGCCUGGAUGCGCCCGUUAAGCGCUCCGUUCUGGGUCUCGCGGUAGAUGACGAAGGGGACGAGAUCCUCGAUGAGGUCGCCGG
rnacentral:misc_RNA from 1 species